UACGAAGGGGGCUAGCGUUGCUCGGAAUCACUGGGCGUAAAGCGCACGUAGGCGGCUUCUUAAGUCAGGGGUGAAAUCGUGGAGCUCAACUCCAGAACUGCCUUUGAUACUGGGAGGCUCGAGUCCGGGAGAGGUGAGUGGAACUGCGAGUGUAGAGGUGAAAUUCGUAGAUAUUCGCAAGAACACCAGUGGCGAAGGCGGCUCACUGGCCCGGUACUGACGCUGAGGUGCGAAAGCGUGGGGAGCAAACAGG
rnacentral:rRNA from 1 species